UACGUAGGGGGGCAAGCGUUGUCCGGAUUUAUUGGGCGUAAAGAGCGUGUAGGCGGCCAGGCAGGUCCGCUGUGAAAACUCGAGGCUCAACCUCGAGAGGUCGGUGGAAACCGUUUGGCUAGAGUCCGGAAGAGGAGAGUGGGAAUUCCCGGUGUAGCGGUGAAAUGCGCAGAUAUCGGGAAGAACACCCCGUGGCGAAGGCGGCUCUCUGGGGACGGUACUGACGCUGAGACGCGAAAGCGUGGGGAGCGAACAGG
rnacentral:rRNA from 1 species